rnacentral:rRNA from 1 species
UGGAACUGAGACACGGUCCAAACUCCUACGGGAGGCAGCAGUGAGGAAUAUUGGUCAAUGGGCGAGAGCCUGAACCAGCCAAGUAGCGUGCAGGAUGACGGCCCUAUGGGUUGUAAACUGCUUUUAUAAGGGAAUAAAGUGAGCCUCGUGAGGCUUUUUGCAUGUACCUUAUGAAUAAGGACCGGCUAAUUCCGUGCCAGCAGCCGCGGUAAUACGGAAGGUCCGGGCGUUAUCCGGAUUUAUUGGGUUUAAAGGGAGCGUAGGCCGGAGAUUAAGCGUGUUGUGAAAUGUAGAUGCUCAACAUCUGCACUGCAGCGCGGACUGGUUUCCUUGAGUACGCACAAAGUGGGCGGAAUUCGUGGUGUAGCGGUGAAAUGCUUAGAUAUCACGAAGAACUCCGAUUGCGAAGGCAGCUCACUGGAGCGCAACUGACGCUGAAGCUCGAAAGUGCGGGUAUCGAACAGGAUUAGAUACCCUGGUAGUCCGCACGGUAAACGAUGGAUGCCCGCUGUUGGUCUGAAUAGGUCAGCGGCCAAGCGAAAGCAUUAAGCAUCCCACCUGGGGAGUACGCCGGCAACGGUGCAACUCAAAUGAAUUGACGGAAUAAGAG